GACGAACGCUGGCGGCGUGCCUAAUACAUGCAAGUAGAACGCUGAAGGAGGAGCUUGCUUCUCUGGAUGAGUUGCGAACGGGUGAGUAACGCGUAGGUAACCUGCCUGGUAGCGGGGGAUAACUGGAAACGAUAGCUAAUACCGCAUAAUAUUGACUAUUGCAUGAUAGUCAGUUGAAAGGUGCAACUGCACCACUACCAGAUGGACCUGCGUUGUAUUAGCUAGUUGGUGGGGUAACGGCUCACCAAGGCGACGAUACAUAGCCGACCUGAGAGGGUGAUCGGCCACACUGGGACUGAGACACGGCCCAGACUCCUACGGGAGGCAGCAGUAGGGAAUCUUCGGCAAUGGACGGAAGUCUGACCGAGCAACGCCGCGUGAGUGAAGAAGGUUUUCGGAUCGUAAAGCUCUGUUGUAAGAGAAGAACGAGUGUGAGAGUGGAAAGCUCACACUGUGACGGUAUCUUACCAGAAAGGGACGGCUAACUACGUG
rnacentral:rRNA from 1 species